rnacentral:rRNA from 1 species
UGGGGAAUAUUGCACAAUGGGCGCAAGCCUGAUGCAGCCAUGCCGCGUGUAUGAAGAAGGCCUUCGGGUUGUAAAGUACUUUCAGCGGGGAGGAAGGGAGUAAAGUUAAUACCUUUGCUCAUUGACGUUACCCGCAGAAGAAGCACCGGCUAACUCCGUGCCAGCAGCCGCGGCAAUACGGAGGGUGCAAGCGUUAAUCGGAAUUACUGGGCGUAAAGCGCACGCAGGCGGUUUGUUAAGUCAGAUGUGAAAUCCCCGGGCUCAACCUGGGAACUGCAUCUGAUACUGGCAAGCUUGAGUGUCGUAGAGGGGGGUAGAAUUCCAGGUGUAGCGGUGAAAUGCGUAGAGAUCUGGAGGAAUACCGGUGGCGAAGGCGGCCCCCUGGACGAAGACUGACGCUCAGGUGCGAAAGCGUGGGGAGCAAACAGG